UCUAUCUUACGGGGGGCAGCAGUGAGGAAUAUUGGUCAAUGGGCGCGAGCCUGAACCAGCCACGUCGCGUGAGGGAAGACGGUGCUAUGGAUUGUAAACCUCUUUUGUCGGGGAGCAAAAAGGCCUCGUGAGGUCACAAGUGAGAGUACCCGAAGAAAAAGCAUCGGCUAACUCCGUGCCAGCAGCCGCGGUAAUACGGAGGAUGCGAGCGUUAUCCGGAUUUAUUGGGUUUAAAGGGUGCGUAGGCGGACUGGAAAGUCAGCGGUAAAAUCGAGAGGCUCAACCUCUUUCCGCCGUUGAAACUG
rnacentral:rRNA from 1 species